GACGAACGCUGGCGGCGUGCCUAAUACAUGCAAGUCGAGCGGACUUGAUGGAGUGCUUGCACUCCUGAAGGUUAGCGGCGGACGGGUGAGUAACACGUAGGCAACCUGCCCUCAAGACUGGGAUAACUACCGGAAACGGUAGCUAAUACCGGAUAAUUUAUUUCACAGCAUUGUGGAAUAAUGAAAGACGGAGCAAUCUGUCACUUGGGGAUGGGCCUGCGGCGCAUUAGCUAGUUGGUGGGGUAACGGCNCACCAAGGCGACGAUGCGUAGCCGACCUGAGAGGGUGAACGGCCACACUGGGACUGAGACACGGCCCAGACUCCUACGGGAGGCAGCAGUAGGGAAUCU
rnacentral:rRNA from 1 species